rnacentral:rRNA from 1 species
GAUGAACGCUGGCGGCGUGCUUAACACAUGCAAGCCGAACGGGAUCCAUCAAGCUUGCUUGGUGGUGAGAGUGGCGAACGGGUGAGUAAUGCGUGACCGACCUGCCCCAUACACCGGAAUAGCUCCUGGAAACGGGUGGUAAUGCCGGAUGCUCCAGUUGAUCGCAUGGUCUUCUGGGAAAGCUUUCGCGGUAUGGGAUGGGGUCGCGUCCUAUCAGCUUGACGGCGGGGUAACGGCCCACCGUGGCUUCGACGGGUAGCCGGCCUGAGAGGGCGACCGGCCACAUUGGGACUGAGAUACGGCCCAGACUCCUACGGGAGGCAGCAGUGGGGAAUAUUGCACAAUGGGCGCAAGCCUGAUGCAGCGACGCCGCGUGAGGGAUGGAGGCCUUCGGGUUGUAAACCUCUUUUAUCGGGGAGCAAGCG